GAGGGCUGUCUGGGAACUGUCCCUUUGGGCAGGUAAAGGCAGUGGGUUACUGUUCAGCAUAGCACCAGCAUGUGCCAGGCAGGGCAGCUCCAGCCUGUGUGUGUGUCUUUGUGUAGCUUGUGUGGCACGUUGUCUCCCGUGUCUCAUCCCAGAGGAGUCUUUGUGCUCCAGGAGCUCAGUGGUCACCUUGUGCUCCAUCCUUAGGUCUUGAACAUCUGUGGUCAUCAUCAUAGCGCCCAUCAGGUGCGUCUUUUCUGCAGUCAGAGCUCAAAAGCACAGCGUGGCCUCGUGGCUCGGACGUUUCUGCUCAGUCCUCUUUUGCACCGGUGUUGUGGUCUGUGUUGUCAGCACCACCCUGGAGCCUGCUCUUUUGCAGAGAGCCCUUUUUCUGGGCAUUUUUCCUUGCGUCCUUUUGUUCUUGGGCCUUAGCAAGGCUUUUUGUGCAUCCAUCUAUUUCAUUUUUGACUGUAGCUUCUUGUCACAGAUUGUGACAUUUGACUCUUUCUCUGGGACUCCUUACUGUCAAAAUCAGAAAUGGAUUGACUAUAGGAAUAUUCAGAUGGAUUAUGUUAAUUAAAGGGAUAUCAGUUAAAAUUGUAUACAUGUUAAAGACUUGGCAAACUAACAACUGCUUGACCUAAGUGACUUGACUUUUGACUUGACUCAAGGCUUGACUUAACAUGAGUAUCUGGAGUGAUGAGGCCUUAGGCUACAAUUUUAGUAAUCUUUAGCUGAACACCUGUGAUGAACCUUAGUUAGACCUUCACUCUACCAUCUGUAAUAAUAUUGAAACAAGAUGCAGACAACAAGAUAAUUACUCAAAAUGAUCUUCUAAAAUAGGGAAGAUGCAUUGACUGAAACUUAAGUUGGAGAAAUCGGACAAAAGUAGAAUGUGGAGGAAUUUUUCAGCUGAGACACAAGUGGAGGAAAACAAAGAAAUUGUCCCAACAAGAAGUGACUGAUGGUGAAUGGGGGCCCUCAGAGGAGGACAGAACCCAUCAGGAUGGGAUGAUGUCAUUGUUGUGGGAGGUAACUGGAUGAACAGACGCAUGUACCAGCAUGUGGUCAGGCUGUGAGCCUCUAAAAGGUACAAGUACAGUCCAGGUGGGGGUCAUUCUCCAGAGGCACCCAGUUCAAGCUGCAAUAAACUGAUUCUGUGGCAGAAUUGAGAGUCUAAGCUUGUCUCUACGGUCAGAGGUGAAGACUGGAUCCAGCUGCACUGAUGCUUCUCUCUGAGAAGUUUAGAAACCAAGGAGGUUCUGAGCCUCAACUCAACAGGAGGGACUUUCCAGACUCUUCAGCACUCAUCUUGUACUUGCAGUCCCCUCUGUCUUGGCACCUGGUAGAGUAGUUUUUCUUGCUGAAAGAGUUUCCUCUCAUGCUUGUGUCACAUCCUUUGUGUGUUGUGUCUCUGUGCUGUUGGGUUGGAGCUGCUUUCUCUGGAGGGUUGGGAGAAGAAUAGCAAGGAGAGCCUGUGGUUCGUGUUGCUGUGCUGUCUGUGCCUGUUGGGGUGCAGAUGGAGUAUUUGAAGUGAAGUAGCAGCCCUCAGCAGGGGAGGGUGGCCAUUUUCCUAGUGUUUUUGAGAGGGGGUGGCUGGAGCCACCUGGGAGAGGCUGCUGGAGCCAUAGCCAAGCAGGUUGGGUGUCCAGGGUGUUAAGGCCUGGAUGUGUGGGGUGUAAUGUUAACUUGGUUUUUAGCUCCCUUGUAGGUAGUUAGGAUCUCAAAGAUGUUCCUAAAUGGGAAUCUCUGGAAUUGCAUCUGGCUGAUUGCUUGUUACUGCUUUUUCAGAUGCAGGGAGAGGAGCCACGCAGCAGAGGGUGGUGGAGGAGAGGAGCAGAGCGUGGUGAGGAGCUGGGUCGGUGCGUAUUGAAGAGUCUGGGUGAGUUGUCCCCUGGGUUGUGAGGGAAGGUGUGAGUGGUGCCUCUAUCGACUGGCUCAUGGUUCGGGUUUGUUUUGUAGGUGCAAAGCACCGAGGGAAGCGGGAGAUCUGCACUGAAGGUGACUCGAGCAAGGCAGCACACAGGGCUGGACGUGGCAACCUGUGACCAUCAGAGGCCAGACAGGUGAGCCAUGAAGUUUUGCAGCCUUGGAGCAGUGGAGCAGCAUGCCAACGGGCCAUCUGUGGAGAUGACACAGGCGUCAGCCAGAUGCCACAAGCAAGGAUGGCCUCAGCAUCCGAUUCUGGAACCAGCAGAUCACUAUGAGGAGCCUGGCGAUGGCAGGAACAUCCCGGCAAGGAUGGCUUGUCGAGGAGGAAGGCUGCGGAGCCCUGGCCAUCUGAAAGCUAAGUGGAGGGGCUGGGAGGAGGGGACAAGGUUGGGGGUUGGAGAGGAGGGUUUCAAAGUUGGUGUAGGGGAGAGGGCUGGCAGGGCACAGUCCCCUUGGGGCAGGCAAAGGGACGGGUUACUCUUCAGCACAAUGUCAGCAUGGGCAGGGCAGGGCAGCUCCAACCUGUGUCUGGCGUGUACUUCGUGUCGUCUGUUUUCUGUGUCUCAGACUGUAUGUUCCUUGGGUCUUGGUGCUUCCAUAGCUCGGUGACCAGCAGGCACCUCAGUAGCCCUCCCAAGAGUCCGGAAUGCAUCACUUCACUGGCACAGAGCCUGUUGAGCCCUUCUCAUCUCACAAUUAGAGCUUGACGCGUGGAUCUCUUUGGCGUGUGUCACAUCCUGGCUGUUUCUGAGCGUUCAUCUCUUGCAGUGGCCAGCCAGGUGCUGCCCGCAGCUCUGCUCUUGAGUCUGCUGUUUCCACAGAGUCAUCUUCUGGGGUUUCAUCCCCAUGUCCUCACUGGUCUUGGGUCUUCAAGCAUGGCUUCUCACACAUCCCUUAUUCUGGUCUUGAUGGCAGCUUUCUCUUGUGUGUGGCUGCAAUUGCCUCUCCUUGGCAGGUCUGCUUUAGAGCAUCCGUGCCAUCGUGGCACCGUAGGGCUUCUCUACCGGCAUCAUCUUCCCUAUGGGAAUCUUUCACUGAGCAAGGACAAGAGACUUAUAGAAAGUUACAAAGGUCUUGUGAAACAGAGGUCCUGAUCUUGUUGAAACAAGAAGAUGGGGAAGCACGUGCUUUUCUUAAAAUGUGGCAGAAUUGCCGAAGUUGCUGUAGCUGAGUGACGUCUGCUCGUGACAAAAUCAACAAUAUGGAAACCAGACCUUCAGCAUUUAGGCUGCCCACCUCCAACUGAAGACCUACGCACUGUGUGUGCUGUACCUUGAAAUCAGAGUGAGAAAUUCACUAACCAAUCAGAGUAGAGUAACUGUGUAUCUGUAUUAGGUGAAGGAAACUAACCACAAGUGCAUAAAUGUACAUAGCCUUGCUACUUCAUGGGGCAGCUUUGUGUCUAACCCCCUCUCGCCCUAUGUUUGCCUAAAUGAAUAAAAUAAAUGAAAAUACCUUGGCUCUGUAUGUAUUUUGGCAUCUUGCACACCAGGUGAAUGACCCCACUUUUGGUAUAACGAGGUAUAACACUCGGGGUGUCCGUGUGUAGUCCUGGUCUGUGUGUGAGGGUUGGAGCUUCCCUGCCCAGGGAUGCAGCAGUACUGAUGACAGGGUAGCGUAGCUUUAUGGGGGUGUGUAAGUAAGUUGGUGUGGACCAAUUCUGUUGGCAGAGACCAUACGGUCCAUCUCUGGGCCAACAGGUGUAGGCAGCUGCCACAGUUGUGUUCCCUUUUCUUUACAGUCCGGGGCUAGGAUUGGAUCCAGCCGCACCUAGACUCCUCUGAGAAGGAGUUUAGAAAGCAAGGGGGUCCAGUCUGAACCUCGUGACUGGUUGGGAGCAGCAGUUAGUGUGGAAGGGGAGCGGGUCAGAUCUGGAAGCUGCCUUAGCUUGCACAGAUGGGGCUCCCUAGCUGGCUUUUCUUCUUCUAGCUGUAGUGAGAAGGUAUAUGCAAAAGGCAGAGAGACCUCUGGCCUCACCAAGCUACCUGUGGCUGUGCAGGUGACUUGCUUUACAGGGUGUGUUUGUGUUGUUUCAGAUGCAGAGCAACAAGCAGCACGGCCAAGGGCACGGAAGAGGCUUUUCUUACGCUGUAAUGACAGGUACAUUUUCACUUUGUCAGUUAAAAGGUAACUAGGUCCACAGAUGAGGAUCUGGAGCAAUAGUUCAAGAUGCAGCUUCUCCCAGCUCAGAUGCAUUACACAGACUUGCAAACUGCUGCUGAGGUAAUCCUUUUCUUAUUUUCUCCCCCUCAACAGAAGAACUCAAAGCUCUGCUAAUUGCAGGUGACCUUGAAAGGUUCUUCGUAGAGAAAUUAAGUGGACAAAUUAAAAUGCAGCUUUCAUGGCAUUUUCACUGCCAUCUCUUGUGCCUGGAGGUCAAAUGUUUUCAUUUGUUUAUGCAACUUGGCAUUGUUAUCCUGAAGUAGAAUUACUAUAUUUUUUUCUCUUUCUGUUUUUCAGUUUGGCAGUGAAUGACGUCUGCUUUGAGAUCAGAGGAGUCAGUUGAUCAAGGAUGUGGAGUUGUCAGUAAAAUGAUGGAAUGAGUGAAUUAUUUUCAUUGAAACUGGAAUUUGUUUAGCUUUUCCCUGUGUCCUCUUCUUAAGGUCACUUAAGAUCUCAUUUUUUCCCUUUUUUUUUCUUUAUAUCUUGAGUUGUUAUAAAGAAGUCAAUUAGAGAGGCCCAAAAUUGCCUUUACUAGGCUCUGUGUUAGUUGCAUAUAAUGAUUAAAAUUCUAUGUGUUUUUCUGAA